rnacentral:rRNA from 1 species
UACGGAGGGGGCUAGCGUUGUUCGGAAUUACUGGGCGUAAAGCGCACGUAGGCGGCUUUGUAAGUUAGAGGUGAAAGCCCGGAGCUCAACUUCGGAAUUGCCUUUAAGACUGCAUCGCUUGAAUCAUGGAGAGGUCAGUGGAAUUCCGAGUGUAGAGGUGAAAUGCGUAGAUAUCGUGAGGAAGACCAGUGGCGAAGGCGGGUCUCUGGACAGUUCCUGACGCUGAGGCGCGAAGGCCAGGGGAGCAAAGCGGGG